AAUAGAGAACAAGCCUGUUGUUGUUGCUGCUGCUGCUGCAACGAGUUGGAGGGAGGGAGAGGUGCAAACAGACAGAGAAAGAGGAGGAGGAAACAAACUUCAAGAAAGGCGGAGACUUUCUUUUCGAAACGAGUAUGUAGAAGUUUGGAGACUAUUCCACAGUCGAUCAGUUCUUGCCACCCACCAAGCAAGUGUGCUGUGGAUUAUUGGGAUAUGGAGCAGGAUUUGACACAGAAAAGCCCCACUGAAUUCUCCACCCCUCGUAUUAUGAAAGAAAAAACACAUGACAUGAUACUUCAAGAUAAUGAAACCAGAACUGCUGCCCAAACUUGCCUAAGAUGUAUGGCUGGAGAACCUGUAAGUAUAUUAACCUUCCUACUAUGACAUAGCAAGAUAGACUUUUUCUUAAAUAUUAGAACUAUAAAACAUAAGGUUCGUAUUUGGUGAAAAACAAAAAGCCCUGCAAUUACAUUUCUCAGGAGUAAAGCAUGUAAAAAAAAAAGAGGCAGGUUGAAUUAGGUUUUUCUCAGUGUGCUUGAAGAGUGCAAACCAACAGGUUUCUUGCAUCAGUUUGAAAAUAUAGGGAGUGCAAGUUCAUGUUUCUGAUCUACUGAAGAUCUACUGAAAAGCCAAGUUUAGUUGGGUAGUAGAUGAAAUCUCCGUUCAAAGUUUAAAAUGCACUCUCUUUUAGGAGUAUGUCCAGUUAGGAGGCAUUUAAUAUUUAUAAGUAGAGAUUUAGAAGUAUUUUUUACAAACAUUCAUGAUGAUUGAAUGUGGAUGAAUAAUUACAUAUUACAUUUAGAUAUUUUUCAGUGUGGUAAUGUAAACCAGUUCAGCUGAAGUCUGGGGGUUAAGAAUUACCGUACUCUUUUCCCAGCAAAAAGAUUGUACUUCGGUUCAAGCCUGUCCCCAUCAAAGUAUUUUCUAACUACCAUGCAGGCUUCCUCAUUCAAUUCGCUAUAAGCCAUGUAUUUAUUUGCUGAUGUAGUGCUAGCCCUUCUGACUAAGAUUUUGUAAGUGGGAAUUCCAGAGUGUCAUG
rnacentral:lncRNA from 1 species